rnacentral:rRNA from 1 species
CGUGUAGGCGGAGCUGCAAGUCAGAUGUGAAAUCCCGGGGCUCAACCCUGGAACUGCAUUUGAAACUGUAGCCCUUGAGUAUCGGAGAGGCAAGCGGAAUUCCUAGUGUAGCGGUGAAAUGCGUAGAUAUUAGGAGGAACACCAGUGGCGAAGGCGGCUUGCUGGACGACAACUGACGCUGAGGCGCGAAAGCGUGGGGAGCAAACA